AGUGAACGCUGGCGGUAGGCCUAACACAUGCAAGUCGAACGGCAGCACAGUAAGAGCUUGCUCUUACGGGUGGCGAGUGGCGGACGGGUGAGGUAUACAUCGGAAUCUACUUUUUCGUGGGGGAUAACGUAGGGAAACUUACGCUAAUACCGCAUACGACCUACGGGUGACAGCAGGGGACAUUCGGGCCUUGCGCGAUUGAAUGAGCCGAUGUCGGAUUAGCUAGUUGGCGGGGUAAAGGCCCACCAAGGCGACGAUCCGAAGCUGGUCUGAGAGGAUGAUCAGCCACACUGGAACUGAGACACGGUCCAGACUCCUACGGGAGGCAGCAGUGGGGAAUAUUGGACAAUGGGCGCAAGCCUGAUCCAGCCAUACCGCGUGGGUGAAGAAGGCCUUCGGGUUGUAAAGCCCUUUUGUUGGGAAAGAAAUCCAGCCGGCUAAUACCUGGCUGGGAUGACGGUACCCAAAGAAUAAGCACCGGCUAACUUCGUGCCAGCAGCCGCCGUAAGAC
rnacentral:rRNA from 1 species